AACUAACAGUCUUCAGAAUUUGGUCAAUAAAAGUUCAAAAAUUGUCAGUUACCUUAAAAUCUUUGACUUUGAGAAUUGAGACAAUCUGAUUUCUUCUAUAUGGGUAUAUAUACAAAGAGAAGAAUGAUAAUUCAGGUUUCACAGAACCCUAUUUCUCUGCGGCAAAGACAUAAGAGACCGCAAGAAGAAGACAUUGCUAUUUGUGAAUGCAAGUAUAUAUUAUGCCAGUGAUCUUGAAUAUGCGUGUGGAGAAAGGUGUUUGAAUGUAUUGACCAACAAUGAAUGAACACCGAGAUAUUGUCAGUUCGGUGAGACUUGUAGAAAUCAGGUAACUUAGAUGAUUCGGUUAAUUAGUUGAACAUACUUGUGGUCGGGGCCUUCCCCGGACCCUGCGAAUAGCGGGAGCUUUAGUGCACCGAACUGUCCUUUUACAAUGGUCUUAUCGAUUUUUAAACUUAUAUCAGAUUGAGGAAGUGGUGAAAGUGGUGGUAUUUUAGAACUACUUUCUGUUGAGAAUGAAAUGUUCAACUAAUUAACCGAAUCAUCUAUUAAUCUUAUUCCUGCAAUUUUUCACCACAGUGACAGUAUCCUGGUGUACAUUCAGUUUUGGUUAGUACAUUCAAACACUUCUCUUUGCAUGUACUUUUAGGAUCACUUUUAAGCUGGAAUUAUAAUAUUGGAUCUAGUUCAAUACCGAAGAAGAAGUCUCAGUAUAUUCCCGAGCAGAAGGUCAAAUCUUCCAGCCGUAAGCAAGUGAACGAUGGAGAUUUGCUAAAAUGGUUGCAUCAAAGGAAGACGUUACCAAGUAUGAGGCUAGGAGCAGCCCUCAUAUUCUUUGAUCUGUAGUUCCACUUCCUCUCUCAGCCUAACUCCAUGAUGUGUUACAAAGAAAAGGUGAUCAUACCUCAUACUUGCUUCUUCUCGUGCUUCCUUCAAUGCAAACAUUUUAGCAAAAUAUCCCUCAUUCACUUGCUUAUGGAUGGAAGAUUUGACCUUCAACCAGGGAAUGCGCUGAGACUUCUUCUUCAUUGUUGAACCAGAUAUUCCUACAUGUGCUAUUACUUUUCUCACCAUCAUUCGAUAUCUUAAUAAGCUCAUUUCCUCCACUAGUUCCAGAGAUCGUUGGAAAAAAAUUCACCCUCAGCCGAGUCAUAAAGUGGAACUUCCUCCACCGUAUAUUUGCAUACCAUACCAUGUUUCUUACAAGGAGGAAACACAAAGCUAGCUACUAUGUAUGAAACAGACAACCGAAUAUGACUAAAAUAAAUCAUAGUGCAGUAAGGAACUAUAAUAUUUGAUCUGGUUCAACACCGAAGAAGAAGUCUCAGCAUAUUCCCAAACAGAGGGUAGAAUCUUCCAGCCGUAAGCAAGUGAAUUAUGGAGAUUUUGCUAAAAUGUUAGCAUCAAAGGAAGAAGUUACCAAGUAUGAGGUAUCACCACUUUUCCUCAAAACACGUCACGGAGUAGGUAACUUUAUAGACUUUUCCUUGGGGUUGGAAAGAGGCUAAUGUUCAACUCCAAUUAACUUGAUGAGCUCUUCUUUGGAGAAAGCAGAGUUUGAUCUCUACUUAUAAUGUUGCAUUGCUGCCUAUUUUCACCUCCCUCGUGAAACCCUCGGUUCAAAGCAUUGUCUCAAAACAGAUUGGGCCUAGUGAACAGGGAAAUUGCUCAAGGGUGCAUUUCAAGCAUAAGUUCUAUAGCAAACAUUCUCUUCCCCAUUCAUUUGUAGUCCUCUGACCGGCAAGUCGAAUUGAUAUUUUUCAGCCUUAUUCCUUUCAAGAAAAAAAGGUUCCUUUUCCAUAUCCUGGCUUUAGCAUUGUGUGCAUUGGCCUUGCUUGGGUAAGUAGGUCUAUGGAACUUAAUAUGGAAUCUAUUGAUUGAUGAGGAUGAGUUAACUGAGUGCAAUCUUCUACUAGUUUUUAUGUUUAUUUAACUUAUAACAUGGAUGUGUUUCUGUGUAUGUAGUUGAUAGACGUUAUUGCCAGUGCAACGAUAAAGGUGAUUCCUCUUGUCUCAAGACGGUAACAACAUUUGAAGGGUAGCAACAUACUAUUGUCUCAAGAUGAGACAAUAGUAAAUGUACCCAAAAAAUGAGAAACCUACUAGAACAUCCCAUAGGCCGAUAAUAGUAUAUGUACCCAAUAAUUUGAACAUUAUAACUCUCUCUGUUAUCAGAAAGGUUUUCAGAUGUUUUAUGACAAGCAAUGCCAUUGUAGUAGUGUCGAGGAGCGUUCAAACGCGGAAUGAUGAUGUGUUGUUGAAAAUCCUUGGAAGUAAUUGGUAAUGUUUUAGCAUCUA